GCUACUGCAAUACAACCUGCCAGAAACAAGCAUGGUCUGGACAUAAGAGGGAGUGUAAAUGUCUGCGAAGCCUCCUGCCCAGACGUCCUACGGACUCCGUUCGUCUGACUGCGAGAGUCCUUUUUGCGCUGUUAAAUCAUCAUGAGAGCAGUACUGUGGAGCU